rnacentral:misc_RNA from 1 species
GAUGAAGAACGCAGCGAAAUGCGAUAAGUGAUGUGAAUUGCAGAAUUCAGUGAAUCAUCGAAUCUUUGAACGCACAUUGCGCCCCCUGGUAUUCCGGGGGGCAUGCCUGUCCGAGCGUCAUUACAACCCUCAAGCUCAGCUUGGUAUUGGGCCCCGCCGACCCGGCGGGCCCUAAAGUCAGUGGCGGUGCCGUCCGGCUCCGAGCGUAGUAAUUCUUCUCGCUCUGGAGGUCCGGUCGUGUGCUCGCCAGCAACCCCCAAUUUUUUUCAGGUUGACCUCGGAUCAGGUAGGGAUACCCGCUGAACUUAAGCAUAUCAAUAAGCGGAGGA